rnacentral:misc_RNA from 1 species
GAUGAAGAACGUAGCGAAAUGCGAUACGUAAUGUGAAUUGCAAAUUCAGUGAAUCAUCGAGUCUUUGAACGCACAUUGCGCCCCCUGGUAUUCCGGGGGGCAUGCCUGUCCGAGCGUCAUUGCUGCCCUCAAGCACGGCUUGUGUGUUGGGCCCCGUCCUCCGAUCCCGGGGGACGGGCCCGAAAGGCAGCGGCGGCACCGCGUCCGGUCCUCGAGCGUAUGGGGCUUUGUCACCCGCUCUGUAGGCCCGGCCGGCGCUUGCCGAUCAACCCAAAUUUUUAUCCAGGUUGACCUCGGAUCAGGUAGGGAUACCCGCUGAACUUAAGCAUAUCAAAGCGGAGGA